UAUCCGAUUGAUCGAGAAAUGUAACAAUGCCCAUAUAUUUGUGAAAGAUCACUGUCAUAUACUUUUUUCGGCAAGAAACGGCAUUUUUAGUAAUUAAAAUAAUUAACUCUACAUCUUAUAAAUAGAACCAUUAUGCGAAAAUGGAAAAUAGCUAAUAUACAGUUUCUUCGAAUAUAUUGAUAUAAAAAAAAAAUCGAUCAGCUGCAUUCAGCAUUAAUGUAAUGCAAUUUUCUGUUCAAUGAUACUUGCAUUUGUCACCAUCAGGUAUCGACAAUGUUCCGUCUGUAACCAUCUGUAGCACCUUCACGUCUGCGCUUCUGCUGCCUGCGCUUCAUGAAGAUCGCAUAUCCAACGUCACGUUACAGGCGCACGUCGGUGAACAUGAAGUUGACAGCAGGAGGGCAAUGAUAAAUUAUGACAAGCCCAAAAACGGGAAUACUUUAAUCACUUUAAGUGCUUACUUUUAUUCAAUAUGCAAUAACGGAAUUGUAAAUAUAAAUCACGUAUCACGCACCGAUCGUGACGAUUCGUAUCGCGUUCUGCAGGAAGACAGCGUUAGAAGGCAGCGCUCGGAAGUAGCAAGAAUACGAUAAAAGACGAAGAGAUUAUUCAAUACUGAAUUAUUAAGUACUCGAUUAUGUUCUUGUGCAUGAUUUCACUUGACAAAAACUUGUAAGACACAGAAGACGUAUAUCUACAUAUACUUAGCGCAUACACAAUCAUUAUAAAAUGUAUAAGUUAUCAAAAUGUAGAAAAUAAUCUGUUUAGCUUACACAUCGAUGUGAUAAGUCGAGCGGUAAAGAGGUAAUCGGUGUAACCUGCAAAAGCAAAUUGCAUGCUUAUGCUGUGUUACUAUCAGCAUAAGCUCUUGUCAACUAUAUUAGUCUUGGCGUCUAUUAAUGAGAAGAGUUAUAUCUUACAUUCUGAAGAAUAUGAACAUAGAAAUUCUACCUACACUUCGAUAGUAGGUAAAUACGUGGCAUUAGCUAGCUGUGAACGGUAUAUAUAACAGAAAACUUCGACAAGUAUGUAAAUGUACAUAUGUAAAAAUAAAAUCGAUUAAACGUUAAAUAAAGGCAAGCGCGCUAUAAUUAAA